GACGAACGCUGGCGGCGUGCUUAACACAUGCAAGUCGAACGGAAAGGCCCUGCUUUUGUGGGGUGCUCGAGUGUCGAACGGGUGAGUAACACGUGAGUAACCUGCCCUUUACUUUGGGAUAACUUCAGGAAACUGGGGCUAAUACCGGAUAGGAGCUCCUGCUGCAUGGUGGGGGUUGGAAAGUUUCGGCGGUUGGGGAUGGACUCGCGGCUUAUCAGCUUGUUGGUGGGGUAGUGGCUUACCAAGGCUUUGACGGGUAGCCGGCCUGAGAGGGUGACCGGCCACAUUGGGACAGAGAUACGGCCCAGACUCAUACGGGAGGCAGCAGUGGGGAAUAUUGCACGAUGGGCGGAAGCCUGAUGCAGCAACGCCGCGUGCGGGAUGACGGCCUUCGGGUUGUAAACCGCUUUAGCCUGUGACGAAGAGUGAGUGACGGUAAUGGGUAAAGAAGCACCGGCUAACUACGUG
rnacentral:rRNA from 1 species